CCUACGGGAGGCAGCAGUGGGGAAUAUUGCGCAAUGGGCGAAAGCCUGACGCAGCGACGCCGCGUGAGGGAUGAAGGUCUUCGGAUCGUAAACCUCUGUCAGCAGGGAAGAACGGUCACUGUGCUAAUCAGCAGUGAAUUGACGGUACCUGCAAAGGAAGCACCGGCUAACUCCGUGCCAGCAGCCGCGGUAAUACUGCGGGUGCGAGCGUUAAUCGGAAUUACUGGGCGUAAAGCGCUCGUAGGCGGUAUGUCAAGUCAAGGGUGAAAUCCCCGCGCUCAACGUGGGAACUGCCUUUGAAACUGGCAAACUGGGGUGUGUGAGAGGAUAGGGGAAUUCCAGGUGUAGGAGUGAAAUCCGUAGAUAUCUGGAGGAACAUCAGUGGCGAAGGCGACUAUCUGGCACAUAACUGACGCUGAGGAGCGAAAGCGUGGGUAGCAAACAGGAUUAGAGACCCCGGUAGUG
rnacentral:rRNA from 1 species